rnacentral:rRNA from 1 species
AUACGGAGGGUGCAAGCGUUAAUCGGAAUUACUGGGCGUAAAGCGCUCGUAGGCGGCUUGUUACGUCGGAUGUGAAAGCCCCGGGCUCAACCUGGGAACUGCAUUCGAUACUGGCAAGCUAGAGUAUAGUAGAGGCAAGUGGAAUUCCGGGUGUAGCGGUGAAAUGCGUAGAUAUCGGGAGGAACAUCAGUGGCGAAGGCGACUUGCUGGACUAAUACUGACGCUGAGGAGCGAAAGCGUGGGGAGCAAACGGGAUUAGAAACCCGGGUAGUCC